ACACGUGAUCACGAUUUUAAAAUAAAAUUAAGGUGAUUACCAUAAUAGGUAAAUAGAGUACUUUAAUACUAGAACUAGCUUGAGUUAUUAAUGUGAAUCAUAGCGGUUAUAUGAUUCAUUCAUCAUAUUCCCUUCUAUGUAUCACGCCACUAAUAACCCUUACUAUUCUAAUCCAUAAUAGCCCCUUUAAUUUUGUCUUGUUAGGACAAAUCCUGUCAAAUUAACUCCAAAUAUAAUAUGUGCACACAUAAUUGGAAACAGGAAAACAGAAACAAUUCAUUAAAUAAAUUAAGUGUCAAUUACAUAAUCAUAUCUCAUUAAAUCAUGGAUUGCUCAAAAGACCCAUUCUAAUAACAUGUUCCUCAUAUGUCUUUAUAGGCAAUCCCUUGGUUAAUGGAUCAGCAACCAUAAGAGUUGUACUUAAAUUUUCUAUUGACACUUGUUGUUUCAGGACUCUUUCUUUAACAACCAAGUACUUAAGAUCCAUGUGCUUGGAUCCACUUGAAUACUUUCCAUUCUUAGAGAAGAAAACGGCUGCGGUGUUAUCACAAUAUAUCUUCAAAGGCUUAGCAAUUGAGUCAACAGCCUUAAGCCCUAAGAUAAAAUUUCGCAACCAUAGUGCAUGACUCGAGGCCUCAAAACAUGCUACAAACUCAGCCUCCAUUGUGGAAGAAGCAAUAAUAGUUUGCUAUACACUCUUCCAAGAGAUUGCUCCACCAGCUAGUAGAAAUACAAAGCCCGAUGUGGACUUUCUACUAUCUACACAACCAGCAAAAUCGGAGUCCGAAUAACCAAUAACCUCUAAUUGGUCCGAUCUCCUAUAAGUAAGCAUGUAAUCCUUUGUUCCUUGAAGAUACCUCAUAACCUUCUUUGCUGCUUUCCAAUGAUAUAUUCCCGGAUUACUUUGAUAUCUACCAAGUACUCCCACUGCAUAACUAAUAUCUGGUCUAGUACAAGUCUGUGCAUACAUCAGACUUCCAACAGCUGAUGCAUAUGGAAUCAAUUUCAUUUUCUCCUUUUCCAAAUCAUUCUUUGGACAUUGCUUUUCAUUUAAUUUAUCACCUUUCGUGAUAGGAGCAUUAAUGGCUGAACAAAACUGCAUAUUAAAUCUUUCAAGAACUCAAUUGAUAUAUCCUUUCUGAGACAAGCCUAACAAUCCACGAGAUCGAUCUCUAAAGAUCUCUAUCCCAAUAACAUAAUUUGCCUCACCCAUAUCAACCAUCUUAAAAUUCUUUGAAAGAUAAUUCUUAGUUUCGUGAAGCAAACCAAGAUCACUACUUGCUAGUAAAAUAUCAUCCACAUACAAGACUAAAAAGAUAAACUUGCUCCCACUGACCUUUAGAUAUAUACACUGAUCAACAGUGUUUUCCUUAAAUCCAAAUGAAGUAAUGGUAUCAUUGAAUUUUAUAUACCAUUGUCUAGAAGCUUGUUUAAGUCCAUAUAUGGAUUUCUUUAAUUUACAAGCCAAGUGUUCCUUUCCUUGUUUUGCAAAUCCUUCAGGCUGGUCCAUAUAGAUAUCUUCAUCUAAAUCCCCAUUCAGAAAAGCGGUUUUAACGUCCAUUUGGUGCAACUCCAAAUCAUAAUGAGCUACAAGAGCCAUAACGAUUCUAAGAGAGUCUUUCUUAGAUACCGGAGAGAAAGUUUCUCUAUAAUCAACGCCUUCCUUUUGAGUGAAACCUUUGGCCACUAGUCUAGCUUUAAAUCUUUCGAUAUUGCCUUUAGAGUCACGUUUGGUCUUGAAGACCCAUCUACAACCGACUUUCUUACUGUUAUUAGGCAAUUCGACAAGAUCCCGGACACCAUUAUAGUCCAUUGAUUUCAACUCUUCAUUCAUAGCAUCAAUCCAUUUACUAGAAUCUUUACUUUUAAUGGCUUGUGAAUAUGAAACUGGAUCAUUUUGAAUACCAAUAUCAAAAUCAGAUUCUUGUAGAUACACCACAUAAUCAUCGGAUAUGGCAGAUUUCCUUUCCCUUUGAGAUUUCCUCAAAGCUACCGGUUGUGGUGGUUCUACAAUAUUGCCAAUGAUGACAUCUUCAUGAAGAGGUGAAUGGAGUGGCGAAUCAUUUGUUUCAACUUGCUGUAUAGGUUGAAGAUUAACUUUAUCUUGAGAGAAAUAAGAUGGUAAAAUAUCCAUCCUAAUUUCCUCAAGUUCUACCUUUCUUGAUUCAACACUCCCACUAACUUCACCAUUCUCUAAGAAUUUGGCGUUUCCAGUUUCAACUAUCCUCGUAGUAUGGUUAGGACAAUAAAAUCUGUACCCUUUUGACUUUAGUGGAUAACCAAUAAAAUAUCCAGAAAUUAUUCUAGGAUCCAAUUUCUUUUCAUUUGGAUUGUAUAUUCUAGCCUCUGCAGGACAACCCCAAACAUGUAAAUGUCUUAAACUAGGUUUCCUACCAGUCCACAACUCGUAGGGAGUUGUUGGGACUGCCUUACUGGGAACCCGGUUUAAGAUAUACAUAGCGGUUUUCAAGGCUUCCUUCCAAAGUGAAAUGGGUACAGUUGAAUUACUUAACAUACUCCUAACCAUAUCCAUAAGAGUACGAUUACGACGUUCAGCAACUCCAUUCUGCUGUGGUGUUCCAGGCAUUGUGUAUUGAGCACAAAUACCACGCUUUUCUAAGAAUUUAGCAAAUGGGCCAGGAUUUUGUCCUGACUCAUCAUAUCUACCAUAGUAUUCCCCACCCCGAUCUGAUCGUAUAACUUUAAUUUUUCUUUCUAAUUGUCUUUCGACUUCCGUAACAAACACCUCAAGCAUGUCAACGGCUUGAGAUUUUUCAUGAAUUAGAUAGAGAUAACCAUAACGAGAUAGAUCAUCAAUAAAGGUGAUAAAAUACUUUUCUCCACUAAAACAUGGAAUAGGUAGUGAGCAGAUAUAUGUAUGGAUUAACUCAAGAAGCUCUUUACUUCUUGUGGCACCUCUUUUAUUGUGUUUGGUUUGCUUACCCUUAAUGCAAUCCACACACACUUGAAACUCAGUAAAAUCUAGAUUUUCCAAAAUUCCAGUUUUUACUAAUUUUUCGAUUCUUUCCUUGGAGAUAUGCCCCAAUCGUUUAUGCCACAAGAUAGAAGAAUUUUCGUUAUUUAGGCUUCGCUUUACGCCAACUUCCGAAUGAGUGGUUAAUAAUGAUUGUUCAAACUCAUGAUUCAAAGAUAUUUUAUAUAAACUAUAACAUAAAAUACCGGAACCAAUUAUUAUUGAAUUAAACAUAAAACUGAGUUUUCCACAACCAAUUAAAGCUGAAUAACCACAAACAUCCAGUUUUGACAAAGAAACCAAAUUCCUAGAAAACGAAGGUACAUAAAAAGUGUUUUCAAGAUCCAUCUUGUGACCCGUCUCUAAAAUGAGGCGAUAAGUGCCAACAAACGCCACUUUAGAUUUGAGACGGUUCCCCAUAUAGAUGUACUUUUCACUUUCCUCCGGUUUCCAAGUUGUAAGGAAUCCCUGUAAUGAAUUUGUGAUAUGAGUUGUAGCACCAGAAUCAAGCCACCAAGUGUAAGAAGGAACUUCAAUAAGAUUUGAUUCAUAACAUACAAAAGAAAGAUGAAUACCUUUCUUUUCGAACCAAGCCUUUCGUUUCUCACAAUCCUUCUUUACGUGUCCCUUCUUGUUACAAAAGUAACAGGUGACAACAAAAGCCUGUCCAUGACCCUGACUACUUUCACCAGGUUCAUAUCUUUUGUUUGGUGCGAAUUUCUUUUCACUCUUCACAAAUUUCCCUUUCUUCUUCAUACUUCCAUGAGUUACAGCCAAUGCAAAGUGAUUUCCUUCCUGCUUUAAUCUCACUUCCUCUUGAAUACACAUACUAGUCAGCUCAUUCAAAUUCCACUUAUCUUUUUGAGUAUUAUAGUGGAUUUUGAAUGGACCGAACUUUGAUAGAAGUGAGUUCAGGAUAAAUUGCACAAGGAAGGACUCUUCCACUUUCAUGCCAAGAGCUCCAAGUUUGGCAGCCUUAUCAGUCAUAUUCAGGAUGUGUUCCUGAAUUCCCUUAUCACCACCAUAUUUCAUGGUAGUCAAUUCAGCCAUGAGUGUCCCUGCUAACGACUUGUCCGCUGAUUUAAAGCGUUCUUUAAUAGCCGUUAACAGUUCCAUAGCAUUGUCAACCUCGGGAAGGGAAGUCUUAAUGUUAUUAGCAACAGUCAUUCUAAUAAGCAUAAGACUAAGCCUAUUGGACUUGGUCCAGGCUUCAAUUAGGCUAACUUCUUCCUCACUGUUAGCAUCCGUUAUUUCCCCAGGUUUUUCAGUAAGCAAUGCUUGGUCCAUAUCCAUAACACCCAAGGUGAAUUGAAUUUGUUCAUACCAUUCGGAGAAAUUUAACCCAUUGAGUGUCUUAAUACCAGAAGCAUGCGAGUACAAUGAAGUAGGAAUAGCAACUGAAAUAAAUAUAGCAAAUAUAAUAAGGUAAAGAUAAAAGGAUGCUCACAUAAGACCUUGAGUCAAAUAAGAUGAACUAUUGAUAUCACUACAAGUUCGCCUUUGGGUGAAAUACAGCAUACCUAUUGUUCACUCUAUGUUGGUGUAAAUAAUCUUUUAUAACACCUAAGUAGGAUCUAACAUAAUUUAUCUCACUCGUCAAUUAGUCAUGUUACCUUUAGGUAAACAAUUCUAAUUGCUAAGUAAUAUAAAUUAUGACACCCUACCCAGUUCAUAAUUAAUUAAAAUCGACUAUCCUUUGAGCUAGUCUCAAUUUCUUAAUUAUGACUGCAAUUUGAGAAUAUUAUAAUCUUUAAUAUCAUUAAGACUUCCCUUCCCGAGGUUGACAUAAAAACCUUAAUUUUAUUUAAUUUUAUGCGGAAAACCUUAAUCACAGAAGGUGUGAUUUAUAAAUUUUAAGAAUAUAAUCACGUAAUAGAGAUUAUCGACAUACCGUUCGCCAUGGAUUUCGAUAGAGACGAUGAACGAUAGCAAUCUACAAGCCAAGCCUAGCCAGGCCUCCUUCGAAUCUCCUUGUGAAAACUUUAUUCGUAGGCACACCUUCUUCUCUCUAUCUCUCUAAUAUCACAACUCACUAAGUGUCUGUAAUUGAUGGAAUUCUCAAUUGUGUCUGAUGGUUGAGGAGAAGAGUUGUGGAUGCUUUUAUAGACAAGAGAAGAGGGCCACGAUUGAUUUGUAACGGCAGAAGACAAAUCCCACCCAUCAUGGUCUUUUACUGCCUUCAACGUUACAAAUCAAUUACCAUAAAAUCACCUUAAUACCAUGAUUUGAAUUACCCACAACUAAUAAAUUAAAUACAAAGGUUAAUGGGCCAUUAAAUAAAAUAAAACGUUAAAAAAUAAAACUAACAUUCUCCCACUUGGCCCAUUGAACCGUUUAAAAAAAAUAAGUUUAAAAAUUAUUUGACUCGGUGGGUUCUUCAUACAAAACAUUUGACACGUGAUCACGAUUUUAAAAUAAAAUUAAGGUGAUUACCAUAAUAGGUAAAUAGAGUAUUUUAAUACUAGAACUAGCUUGAGUUAUUAAUGUGAAUCAUAGCGGUUAUAUGAUUCAUUUAUCAUAUUCCCUUCUAUGUAUCACACCAUUAAUAACCCUUACUAUUCUAUUCCAUAACAGCCCCUUUAAUUUUGUCUUGUUAGGACAAAUCCUGUUAAAUUAAUUCCAAAUAUAAUAUGUGCACACAUAAUUGGAAACAGGAAAACAUAAACAUUUAAAUAAAUUAAGUGUCAAUUACAUAAU
rnacentral:lncRNA from 1 species